rnacentral:tRNA from 1 species
GCGGACGUGGCGGAACUGGUAGACGCGCAGCGUUGAGGUCGCUGUGGGAUAUUAUCCUGUGGAAGUUCGAGUCUUCUCGUCCGCACCA